rnacentral:lncRNA from 1 species
UUUUUUUUUUUUUUUUGUAAUAUAGACAACACAAUUAUUUAAUCAAUUCAAUAGGUCUAUGAUAACACGUAAAAUGCACUAUUAUUUUAGCUCGACUUACACAUUUUUUUAUCUCGAUUUUAUAGAUUUUUGCAAUGUUAUGCUGGUAUUGUGUGUCUAUUUCAGGCAUUUGUCGGUUAAAGUUCUUUUUUUGAAUUUAAAUUUACUUCUAUUUUCAUGUAAAGAUUACCUCUACAUCUGUUUGAGCUGCUUCCAAUCUCCCAUCAAAGGGUUCAUGGUCUCCAACUACAGACUCUAAGGAGUUCAUCAAUGGAUCAGGCUGCAAUAGGAAGGCAAUGAUUCAUUGAAUUAAGAGUCAAAUACUGCAUAGUUUACAUAGAUUCUGCCAAAAUAACUAUAUAGAUAAUUACCGUGACCUCCUUUAAUGAUAAAAAUAUGCGGCCAAGAGCAGAGUUUAUCUGGUGAACUUUUGCCUCUACAGCCUGUACCAAACAGUAGAAAGAUAAACACAAAAGAAGUAAUAUAUAAAAACAUCAGAUUUCAUGGGUACUCAAUUGAUUCCAUCCAUAUUGAAAGCGCCAAGCCAGUAAUAGAUUGCAAAAUAAUGGAAGCAAACCAAAUAUAUUCUCCUGCACUUCAUUAAAGUCCAAUUUGUUUGUCCUUUUUUCUAAGCAAAAAUAUUUUUUAAAUGUGUUGAAGAGAAUUAUAACUAGGUAAAUUGCUAGAACUAGAAGAUAUGAAAAUGUCUUAUAAUAUCUCAGUAUUAUUUUAAAGUAUCUUAAAGUGUACCGUAUCUCAGUCCAAUCGAUACAAAUUUCUAGUGUGUAUCUAUUUUGGACAUGAACCUCAUGUUAAAUCCCGGUUCACAAUAAAGAAUCUUGAUUCAUUCCAUUGAGUUGCUACUUAAACUUAGUGUAGUCAGCCACUUCUUUUUGUCAACUUUGUAUAAUCAUCCACCUUUCUUUUGUCAUUUGAUUUAUGACUUGAAUCUUUAAUUAUGAUGAGGUUUGAAUAUGAUAUACUCCCUCUUGUCCAAAAUAUAAGCAAAAAUUUACAUGUAUUUGAUCUAAAUUGGACCAAAUACAUGUAGCUUUUUACUUAUAUUUGCGAUCAAACGGAGUAUCAGCUUACAGUUAAGCUAUGUCACUUGUUUUCUCUUAACAAUAUCAAAUUUUUAUUAGUAAUGUAUCUUACAAAUCAUAAUAAGACUGGACUCACGAUUCGGAAAACAAUUCUUAUGUUUCAUGAUUAAUGAAACAGUUCUUAUGAUUCACGAUAUGAAUCUCAAUUUGAUAACCAUUAUCUUAUGCGUUUUUUAAAAAUACGUGUUUACGAAAAAACUAUGUAAGUUCGUUAAAAGCAAAAACGUGUGAAGAAAAAACAGUUUCAAUUCUUUUCUCAUUAGCAAAAAAGUAAACAUAUUAACUUCUCCAAAAUAAAUAUAAAAUAUCUUAAAAUAAUUGUAUUGUGGAAUAACAUUUUUUGAAGUUUAAACAAGCAAACUUUAAUUUGUCACCCCGUCAAGAAGUAAUACCUGAUCAAUCUUAAAAUAAUUAGAUGGGUCCAACGUGGAAUCCCACGAUAUUUCUGAUUGAUGAAUUAGUGCAGAAACUCCUUCAACCUACAUUAACAACAGGUCAAUAUUUAGAAUUUUCUACCACCUCUCUGAACUUGAUUCCAUGAACGAAUAUCCAGGCACUAGCUAAAUACAGAGACUGUGGCACAAAAAUAGGCUAACCAAGGAACUUCUACUGGCUUAAAUGAUGCAAAGCUAAACAUGUUUGUAAAAGUGAACUCAAUUUACUGAAAUCAAAUGUUUUAUAUACCUCAACAAAAAUUCCAAAGUAAGUUAUCUUUUGGAUGCGGCAUUUCACAAUAUCACCAACUUGAAGUCUAGCCUGCCAUAAGAAGCACAACGAAUCUGAAUACCACUUUGUUGCAUUCAAUCUAAAACACCUGCCCUGGGCUAAUUCAAGAAUAGUUAUGUCACUAAAGCAUUUACCAUGAGAUUUCUCUUCUUUUCAGUUAGUUCUUCGUUCUCUUUUGCUUUUAGUGAAAAUAUGAGCCUUUUCAAUUUCCUGUCUGAUAGUAACACGUAUGCUUUGAUUUGCUGCAAAACAAAGUAUUGGCAUCUCAAUAUUAAGAAUGAUAAUAUUAAAGUUUCACCUUUUGCAGCAAAAAUAGAUAAAUUUAUUUGGGUUUUGUACUUGUGUUCUGAAUACCAAACCUGUCCAAUAAAUGAUGAUAAGAACUUGAUUUUCUCUUGGUCAUAAAUCUUUAACAGAUCUUCCAAUUUCAUAUCUGGUGAAAUUUUAUCUUCAAGUUUACCAUCAUUCUCCAUAUGUGAAGGUGAAUCAGCAGAAAAAUUACUAUUUUCAGCAUCAUAAUUUGUCACAGUGACCAAGUUUUGCUUGUACAUUGAUGGAUCCAAGCCCUUCUGUCUUACCCAUGACUCAAAAGCUAAAAAUUUCCACUUAGACAGAAGAUUUCGGUAUGGCAGAAAUCCUACCAAGGUACCAAAAGAAACCUGUAAAUGGUCAAUCCAGUUCAGAAGAUAAAUAAGACAGACUAAUUUUUAUCUAUAAAUGAAAGUCCCUUUUACUGAUUUUUAAGUACUUACAACGAAACCCUUGACAUUGCAGCUUACUACGUCCACAUCAACUCUAUCUCCAGUCUUAAUCAAAUCUUCUGCCUUGGUCCAAUCAGUAUCUUCGCCUUCCUACAAUAUCAAAAAACAAAAAGGUAAAUAAACAUGGAAUUUAGGAAAAUAGAUGCAUUGCUAAUGUCUCAUAUAGAUAUGUAAGUAACUAGGGUAAUCCACAAAAUCUGACCAGAAUAUCUAACACAUCAACAAGAUUUCCUGAUUCAUCACUGUUUCGACGACUUUCAGGAUCAAGGGAAGCAGUCUCUUCUCCAACUGAUUUUGAGGUUUGUUUCUCAUAUGGAUCUAAUCUAUAACAAAAUUACAUUUAGGUAAUGAAACAUAUUUGCAACCAUAAUCUGAAAUAUACAACUGUGAAAUUAUUAUCAUAUACCUUUUUGGCUUUCCUUGUAUUGCAGCUUCUACGGACAACUCCGUCUUAGAACCAACUGAAUUUAAAUCAGAUGGUUGAUUUAAAUCAAAUUGUUCCUGAUGGACCUCUGAUUGUCUCUGCUUCUGUUGCUCUGAUCCCUAAUUAAUCAAAGCAUGAAAUAAUUUAAAAACUAUGCUUCCGUUAUCAAAUUCCAUAAUUGCAACAAAGAUUGGCACCUACAUCAAUUGGGACCACGACUCUCACAUCUCCAAACUUCUCUUCUUCUACUUUGUCGCCUGCUCUUUGUGGCUGUUGCAACAAGGUUAAAUUUGUGACUUCAUCACUUGGCUCUCCAAACUGCUCUUCUUCUUCUUCUUCUUCUUUGGCACUUUGUCUCUGUGGCUGUCCCAACAAUGUCAAGUUUGCGACUUCCUCACUUGGCUCUUCAAACUGCUCUUCUUCUUUGUCACUUGCACUUUGUGGCUUUUCCAACAAGGUCGAAUUUGAGACUUCAUCACUUGGCUCUCCAAACUGCUCUUCUUCUUUGCUACUUGCUCUUUGUGGCUGUUCCAACAAGGUCAAUUUUGCGACUUCAUCACUUGGCUCAGCAAACUUCUCUAGUUCUUUAUUAGAACUUGGUCUGUGUGGCUGUUCCAACAAGGUCAACUUCUCGACUUCAUCACUCGGCUCUGCAAACUUCUCAAGUUCUUUAUUGCAACUUGGCCGGUGUGGCUGUUCUAACAAGGUCAAUUUACUAACUUCAUCACUUGGCUUUGCAGACUUCUCUACUUCUUUAUUGCAGCCUGGUCUGUGUGGUUGUUCCAACAAGGUCAAGUUACUAACUUCAUAACUUGGCUCUUCUUUCCGCGUCUUCAACUCACUUUCAACAUUUUUACCAAUUAACGAUCCAGGCUUUCUCAACAAUGUCAUGUCACUAAACUUCUCCUUCACUUGUCCACUCUGCAUUUUAAGAGAAAAAUUCGGUUUCAUUCUCAACCUCGAAGACAUGUCCACAUCUUCAUCCCCGUCUUUGUCCUCAUUAUACAGGGACGGCUUUCUCAAAAUAACAAUAGGAACAUUACUUUUUGUAACAUUCACCGGUUUCCUCAGGGCUUGAUUAGGUUUCUUAAUCUCCAUUUCAACAUUGUUAUCACUAUCAUCAGAAUUGGGUUUGGGUUUUGCCCAAGGUCUUUCAACUUCAAAUGGAAGUUCCUCAAUAUCCACAACUUUACCCUUUUUUCUUUUAUAAAAGGAUUUCUCAAUAUCAAGAUAAGAUGCAUCAGGGUUGGCCUUUCUUCCCAAUACCUAAAACAACAAUUAUAUUAUAAAGUUUUGAAACAUAAUCAUUUGAUUCAUUCCAAAAAAAUAAGUCUGUAAGGUUAGGUCAACUGGCAAUGCUUAUAUGCCGAUAUUAUUAGGCAGUAUAUCUUCAUGGGAUUCGAGCAGUUAUGUGUCUGAGUUUCAAAGUGAUGUUUAUCACUUCGUAUACAGAUAAAAACAAAAACAACAAAAUUGAAAAUUAAAAUAAUAUGCACCUUGGCAAGGGUGAGUUUAGGGUCUUCACCAAGUAAACGACCGAAUUUGAGUUCCAUGAGGUCGUAAUUAUCGAGUUGAGGGGUAUUUUUGUCUUCAUCGCGUGAAGAUGAGGCAAAAACCUUGUAGUUUUUUCUCUGGUUCAGAAAAACAGUUGUUGUUGUUGUUGUAGUUCUUCUUCUAGUAUUUGAUGAUGAUGAGAAGAAAGGAAAUUGAGUUGUAGUGAUGAAGAAUGAGGAUUUACUAGUUAGAGGAAGAGACCCCAUUUCGGUAUAUUAUUAUUAUUAUAACAACCACAAUUGCUAUCAUCAAUCAAACCAACUUCACUUUUCUAGUUGGAUGGAGAUACUCACAAAUACAAUCACAACACAGGGUUAUCUCGGUAGCAGUAGCACGUGGUGACGUGGUUUCUUGGCCUUUUAUUUUUUUAUUUUAUUUUAAAUAUAUCUUUCUUUCUUUCUUUUUUUUUAUAAAUAAAAUAAGUUGUGUAGUUAAUCAACUAAUCAUCCAAAUAUGAUUACAUUAAUGACAUGAUUAGCUUUAAGAUAGUUCUCUUGUUGGAGGAACGAUUAGAGGAAGAAGUUUUUUUUGUGGUUACAACUAUUUGGACACAUUAUCAUCUAACAUAUUUGAAGAAAACAAAGAUAGGAAUAGAAAAGAAUUAAAUAAUUGUUGUAAAUUUUUAAAAUAAUUAAAAGAUGGUAAAUGUUUUGUUGUAAUUCGUGCAUUGAAUUUGUAAGACACAAGUAUUAAGAGAAUAUUUCUAUUUUUAGGUUGCUUAACAAGUACUAUUAAGAGAAUAUAACGUGUAUCCUUAAAAAAUAUAUGUUUUGAUGUGUGUGCUUAAAUAUUGUGUCUAAAUCAUUGUGAUAAAACAAAGAAUGCAUCUUCAUCCCAAUUUAUGAUAGAAAGAUUGUCUUUCUAUUGAGUUAAAUAAAAAAGUGUUUACUCAGGAAAGGAAAGAGUAUAAUGUAAAUGACAACAAAUUAUGACUACAAUGUAUACUUAAUUUGAAGCAAAUAAGAUAUUGGAUCAUAUAAAGAAUAAAGUACAUAUGAAAAUGAGUGGGGCAUAGGUAGGCAUACAUCACAGACUUUGGCUUCUAAAACACAUCUACUACAUAACAUGCCCCCAAAGAACAUAACUUAUUUAUCAUCAUCUAAUGUUUGUUCAUUAACAAAUUAAUGAAUGAAAUAUGUGAUAGCAUAAUUGCAGGAUAACCCUCCCAAAUGAUAUAAUUCCACCAGAACCAACCACCCAAUCAAAAUGUGGGAUAUGUUUAAGGCAAAUCAACCAUAUAUUCUGAAAGAUAUCAUACAAAGAUGCAACCUUGUUGAGUUACUACUCCUUCAACUACUACACCUCUUGUGUAACAGCAGGAUCUUGUUCUUCCUUUGUCUCUGUCUCUGUGUCUGAUGCUGGUGCUGAUUCAGUUUUCUCUGCUGCAGCUUGUUGCAUUUCUUCAUUUUUCUUUAUUGAAGCUUGUUUAGAGAGAUAACUAUAGCUACCUUUUGCCUUAAACAACUGAGAAAAGUGUGGUUUGCAGUAGAUGAAUCCAUCAAGAGCAGCAUAGGAUGAAGGGCUGAGAAAACAUCCUCCAUGUGUACACCUAAAGCAUGACUUGUGGUAAAACUCACCUUCCACUGUCAACUGUCAUAAACAGAAUUUCACAAUUAAAGUAUCAGAAAUGUUUUUUAGACAUCAGAAUUUGACUCCAGACAUUGUGACAUUUUAUACGCUUGUCGAUUUUAUAUAAAAAAAAUUCCUCAUAAUCUAAACACACUGAAAACCGGUGUAUUAUAUACGGUAUCAGUAUAAGUUAUCGAAUUUUUGUGUCCAAAUCCAGCGUUGUUGGAGUAUAUAUAUGAUCAGAAAAAAGGGCCCACUGAAAUCAUGGUAUGGUCCAGCAGUGUUUGAUUAUAUAGUUCUAUUGUUUUAGUAGUACAAUAGUAUCUGAAAUUAACCCAAAUAUAUACCUUUUCCAAUGGAUAUACAGUUUUCUUGCAUGAUGAACAUUUAUCCUGAGUCCCUGAGAAGAAAGCAGAAAGUUUGCUUGGGGCCCUAGGCUGUAAACAUAUGAAAGAAAUUAUAUUAUAUUGUAAAUUGAAGACAUACUAGAAGAACAAUAUUCAAACAAAGUAAAUGAGUGUUGUAUCAAAAGUGAAUAGAAUACACACCAGUUCGCUGGGCUUUCCUGCUGUUUGAAAAUCAUGAAACAAAUUAAGAUUAAGUGAUUAUUUAGCCCCAAAAACAGCACAUAAAUUCCUAUUAUUAUAAUUUGGUAUAGACAAGUAUAUAAAAAAAAGGAUCUUAUUACCCGUCUGGGGUUUCUUGGCGGCGAAGGAAUCCUUGAAAAGCUGCUCAGCGUGAGUCUUGCAGUAUAAAACUCCUUCGAUUGAUUGAUAGUUACUCAUCUGCAAUGAAAAUUAAACCAUUUAUGUUAUUAUUAGUGAUUAUUUGUAUUUCGAUUUAUUUAUUUUUACAAGUAAAAGUUUAGGUGAGUUGAAUAUGUUGGCCUAGAAAAGUACUUAUAUUGUCACAAUCCCAUGUCGUUUAAGAUUAUGCAAGCUCCUUCUUAAGAAGAUCAUUGAGAGUAUAAAUUUAUAUACCAAAAAAAUUAAACAUGGAUAACUAUUUUUUGUCGACAUGCAAUUGAUUAUUUUUUGCUUAUACUUGUGUUUACAUAGUGUAGUCCCUAUCAUUUUGUGUUUCAUAAAAAAUAAAAUAAAAAAUACAUGUCUUUAGAUGCAAUUUGACCCAUCUUUGAUAUAUAUAAAACAUAAACGAGGGACCAUAUAGCAAAAACAAAUUGGUAAAACCAGAAAACAAAUUAAGGUACGUAUGUAUACAUACCGCGAGAAGGCCAUUGCAUUGAUUACAUCUGAAGCAGUUCUUGUGAAAAACAUUACCAUCAGCAGAUAAUGUAUCAACCAAGUGAACAGUUUUAUCACAAACCUUGCAUUUCUGUUGGGUUCCAGUGAAAGACAUGGUUAUCAAUUUGUUUAAUAAACUUCCCCUCUAUCUCGUACUAGCUGAUUAUUGUUUCUGUUGGAAUUAUUGAAAGCUAGCACAGAAAAUGGUGAGGGUUCGGCUAAAACACCAAAGAUAUUGAGCUAUAUAUGGUUCAAAUAACAUAACUAUAAUAUUGUGACCCUUUGAAGUUGCUGUGGUGUGCGAAAUUAUAGGUCUAGAAAAAGAAAAAAGGAUGUGAAAUGGGUGGAGAAGGUGUGCACACCUAUAAUUUUGCAAGCUUCACUGCCUUCAGAUUUUGCAUGGACACAAAUAUAUCAUUGUCUAAUUGUAGCUCUCCGAGUCUAAAGGACACAUGAGACACAAAGCUAACUCUUUGACCAGGUAAUUUUACCCAAUGAUAUGCAUGAUGCAUGAGCUUAUUUAGUUUGCUUAAUUGGAUAGUUUGUGAAUAUGCUUGUAUAUCUAUGUUUGGCAAAUUAGUAGUGAAAAAUAGUCCCUAAACUUGCUUUCAUUAAUUCCUAGCACAAAUUAGCAAAAUAUGUUUCAACAAUACCUCGAAGAAACAUCUAAGAUUACCACAAUCACAUGUUUUCCUCCACAUAAAUUGAUUUAUCUACAUUUGCGAAAUUCAAACACUAUUAUAACAUUAUAUUUUGCUAAACUAAAUGCAAGGCCAAACCAACCAUGAGCCGUCAAAUCCUAAAUGUUAGAAGAAUAUUGUUUAUUUUUGUUUCAAGCAUCAAAUUUUAAACCUCACUCACGUCCCCUACAAAAAAAAAAAAUAGUACUAUCAAUCAUAAGUAAUAAGGCUUUGGAUAAAUCACCACCUUAGUCUAGCACAAGUUGUUGAGUAAGGACAUUAAAUAUAGAGGAUCCUAACUCCAAGUUGUUAGUGUGCAAUGUGUGAAUGUUAUGAAUUCCAAAGUUACUAGUUUGAUUUCUAAUAAUAAUAAAAAAAUAUGUUGGAUAAAUCAAAAUAUUUCCACGUGUAUCUGCAAAAGGUCAAAAAAGCAGGAUGUGAUACAAAACAUCAUGAUAUAAUGCCAUAUGAAAAUAAGGAGGUAUAACUCAAUAACAAAAUCCAAAAUAAUUCUAAACUUUUAUUACAAGAUGAAUAGUAGAUUUAAUCUCUUGAGUAUAUGAACUUCAUUAAGUACUUUAUUUCAAUUAAUUCAAACUAUCGUAGUAUUUGUAACCCACUUGAGCCUUUAAAAGAAGGGAGAUCUAUGAGGUAUUCCCUUUCUUUUCCUUUUUCCCAAAGAAGGUCCAGAAGUUCCCUCCUGUGUUUCCUGAUGCUGAGGAGGACCCUGGAUUGAAGGUCCUGAGGAGGACUCAAGUGGUGUUGUGCUAACUGGAUCCUCAGACUCUGACUUUUUUGAAACUGCUUCAACCUGGUGAAAAUUCAGAUAAAAAAGAUCAAACAAUACUAUUCAUAUAUCGAAUGUGCGAUGAAAGAGGAAAAUAAGAGGUUGUGAUUUUCAAAUUAUAGUCAUCACCUUGCAAGAAAGGGCGCAGUAGCGAUAUAAAUCAGGUUCAUUCAACUUUUUGUUGCAAACUUCACAGGAGUCUUCAGCAUUUGAUGCUAUCUCACUGAACUGGCGAGGCUUCAAAGAAAUAACCACUUUCCUGUUGCUUUUGUAAGUCUACGUCCAAAGAGGAAUCAAAACCAACACGUGGUAAAAAAAAAUUGGUUCUCAGUUGAAUUAUCUCACAAGUCUAUAUCUAACUGUGUCAUAAAUUUUGAUGAACAAAUUUAUUGAAUCAGAGUUAUUUGUAAUUACUAGGGUGUGUUUGAUUUGCUAAAGAACAAGGGACUGGAUUUUUUUUUUAAGAGAACAGGGGACUGGAUUUGACAACAUUUCUUGUACCCUGUUUGAUUUAGAAACUGAUCAUAGCACUGGACAAAACAGAGGGGAAGCGACUGGACAAAAACAUGAAUUUUUGUCCCUCGCUAACCAUGGGACAACUUGUCCAGGCAGGGGUACUGACUAUCCAAAAAACCCUUUUCAUUUUUCAAACAUAAAAAAUGUUAUUUCUCUAUCUCUAUCCAGUACUGCUCUGUCUUCUUCUGUACUGUCAUGCACUGUUCUGUCAGUAAUUGUUGUUUUGCAAAUCAAACACACCCUUAAGCUAGUAAAGUCGUUCUAUGAAAGAGAAUCUCCCAACAAUAUGAAGGAAAAAUAGUGCAUUUAAAUCAAUUUGAUGCAUUUCACAAGCACAAUGAUCUCUUACAACUUGCUACGUGAAUUUAAGCAACUAUGAUUAGCAAAAGAAAUUCAUCAAAAGUGCAUAAACUUGCUGUGUUUCACAUAGUAAAAUUUAAAGUUAAGCUAUUAAUCAUACCUGAACUUCUGAGCAAUCAAAAUAUUUUUCCAUAGCACUCAGAGCAACAACAUCCUUGUAAAUAUGUCUAUAUAUUUUCAGUAUUUUGUGGUGGCGAUGAACACCAGAUGAUAUACAAUAUUGGCAGCAUACCAUAUUGCAAUCUGUACAAUACUUUUUCAGCUCAUUCCUACGAAUUUGAUGAGUAGAACAUGAGCCAAAAUAAUUUUCUCUCAAAAGAGCCUCAAGCCAAAUUGGUUUUUCAACAUUACUUUGGGUUGCCUCCUGCAAAUUAAACCAUGUCAGUAAAAUUUAUAUUGAAAGUUACAGAAAAUGAAAAUAAAUGUUCAUCUUGUUCUCUCUUAGCUAAUUACUUUUUAAAUAUUUAAUUUUUUAUUUUCAUUUUCUCAAGUAUUCAUGCAUAUAUGUUAAUUAGCAUACAUUGGAAAAGAAUGUCAUACAUUUUGAUACAUCAUUGUGUUCAAAAUAUAUUGUAUGUUUAAUAUGGGUGCCUCCUUAACUCAUGUCACCAUUAAAACAACAAAAAAACCAGUAUUUAAUUGUGAGCCAAACACAAAUAAAUAUAAUUUAUACACAAACCAAAAUUGAUACUUCCAUAUUGCUACAUGUUUCUUCAAUUGAUAUAAGCUCGUGAGAUCUUGAAUUAUAUUAAUAUGCCGAAAUUCCAGGUGAUUUCCUGUUGAACUUGAGAAUUACUACAACUAGAGGAUUAACUAAGCUAAAAGGGCUAUUUUGAAAAUAAAUUAUGCCAGCUUAUUUCGAUCAUGAUUUAUAAUGAAUUGGUUGGAAUGAGAUAUUAAUCAAUCAGAACUAGUGUGACAACAAGCUCUAAGAUUUUCAAAGAUAAACAUGGUAGAAACAUCUUAUUAAUGGAGCAGAUAUUCCAUGUAAAAAUAUGUAGAUCAUCCAAUAUUGCGAAGAAAUCUGGAAGAUAAAGAUGCGUAAUUGCAAAAUCAUUUCGAUUUAUGCCUAAUAAAGUACUUCGUAUUCAAAUGAAACAACACACACACACACACACAUGUUGUAAUCAAAAUUUAAGAGCUUAUCUAUAUCAAAAGAACAGCUUAUCGCAAAAAAUUGCAAUAUUUUUUGAGAAAAUGAAAAAAGAGUCACAGAGACCAAGGAGUUUUAAUUGAAUAUUGCACCAUUUAACACAGAGGAAGUACACGAGCAAAAAAUUAUGACCACAUACCAUGCUCAUUUUUGUAGAAGAAGCAGCACCCGUCGUUAUCCUCUUAUACAGAUUAAAAUUUAAAAAUAGGUUUAAUAUUUGAGAACGAAAAGAUGCUCGAUGAAGAAUUCAGAUUUCAAUCGCGAUCGAAUCUGACUAAACGGCCAAGCAGUAGAGGAAAAGGAGAGAAAGAAUAACCCUAGGCAGCCAUUUUGAUACGAGGCUCAGUUUCUGGACAAGAAUGAGUUCAUAUACUAAGUGCAAAAAAGGAAAACCAAAUUUGGUAAAGUCUACGUUGCUAGUCUCAACAUCAAAAAACAAAAUGUCAUAAGCAGAGUUUUGAUACCGGCCUCACUUUUUGAUUAUGAAAAAGUUCAUAUACUUGUACAUAGGGUUGUACACAAUGAAAAAUAAAUUUUGUAAAGACUAAAUGGAUGAAAUUGAUCAAACUAUUCUUCUUAACUUCUUUUUCAUAUUCACAAGUUUCUAGUCUCAAUUUCAUAAAAACAAAUGCCAAUGGAAGAGUUAUGUUUCAUCAUUAAGAUCAUAGUUACUAUCCUUCCAUAGAAUGAUAUAUUAUGAAAUCUAGAAAGAACCAUUGCAAAUUUCUCAACAAAUGGCCAACAGAAACAAUCUUUAUAUUUUUCAUAAUAUAUAGGAUCACAAGGCUGAGUGCAACAAGGCCAUUAGCACCGGGACUCAAAGUUAGGGGAUCUCAAAUUUGGGUUAAUAUGUUACGGGCCCAAUCCACACAUCUACUCCCUCUCUUCUCAUGCGAGGAAAAUAGCAAGCAAAACGAAAAAAGUAGGACGACUCUUUUAAAGUAGCUAGAAGAUUGAUAUGAACUUGAAGUUGUAUUUUGAUAUUAUUUAUUAAGGCAUUGCUCUUUUUGAGCUUUUGGCGUUUCUUUUUAUAAGAGACCCAUUUUUUAAGACUAGAACAGGGUCUCUAAAUUGUUUGAGAUUACCCUGAAGCAAACACAUUGAGCUUAAAAUUUAGCAUUAAAGGAUGCAAUAGGUUUUCUGUAAAACGCCAUUACAAUCCCAAGACUUGGUAUACAAAUUUUACAUUUUUCGGAAGACCCUAAUUUACAAUAAACCUACAUUGAAUUCUUCGUUAAACCUAGAAAUAAUAUCCAUGGAAAUUUGCAUCGAUUAUAGAUUAAUUCAAACAAUAAUAUCAAUGAUCAUGUUUUAGUUAUUGUUCAAAAUCUAACUAACGAAAUUGGAUUCCGCUAAAAUGAAUUGAAGCAAAUAUACAAAAGAUUAUGAGUGAAAUUUUACCUUGGAAACAGAAAUCCAUGAGAAAAGGAGAGUGAGCUUUGUUGAGAAACGUCAUUGCACUGAAGAAGAAGAAGAAGAAGAAGAAGAAGAAACGAUGCGACUAUCUCAUACAUAGCAGGUGAAGUGCGAGUGGGUUCGAAGAUCGUAGUUGACUGUAAUUCAUUUUUUCAGUGUGGAGACAAAAAAAAAAAAGGACAUGAGACCCACUUUUGGUUGCUUACAAGUUACAAUAAUUUAUUUAUUUUUAUAUAAAAAUAAAACUGAAAAAUUAAGGCAAUGACUGUUAACAAGAGAGAAACCAACAUUAUGACAUUUAAGCGUUAGGGCAUCAACACAAGAGUUUGCUUUGUGAUUAACCUAGACGUUCCAAUCUCAUGAAGAAAAGGUUGAAGAUGAAUGGUAGAAGUAAAUUGAUUUUGUAUGAUUGAAUUAACUUUUAGGAUGACAUGAGUAUUUCUCUAGUCAUUUGACAACCAAAUAAAAUACAAUAACUUACAAGGCAAGACCAUGGUCAUCUUUAUGUGGGAGCCAUCCACGUUGAUUUUAACAAAUCGGGAAGAAGGUUUAUCCAUUGACUAUUGUGGCUAGUUAUAUUCUCAUCCCGAGAUACAAGAGGGAAAAUUAUCUCCUUCUCGAUCUAAGAAUCCAUAUUAACCACCUUGGAAGUAAUGUAGCUACAAAGUUCAAUCUCUCUAGAGAAUACUAAGUUAUUAUGGUCUUUCUAGAGAGCUCUGACCGACACAACAAAGAAGAUAGAUCAAUUGGUGUUGCUAGCUCCAAUGUUCUUUGUCAUGAUGUUACAUUCAAGCCAUGGUUAAAAAAUUUAGCCAAUUGUCGUACGUGAUGAAGUGAUUCUAAUACUGUUGAACAUCCUCAAGACCUAGAAGCAUAUACAUGAUGUUUUCAGGUUGAGACCGACACCUAGGGCACAAGUCACCGUUUGUUAUUCGGAGGCGAGCUCUUGUUGCAUUUGUAAGCAAUAAUCCAUGAGCUAACUUCCAGAUAAGAUUAUACAAACUACUGAUAAGAUUGUAAGUUGUUUUUAAACUAACAUUUUCGUCAUUACAAAGAUCUCAAUUAGGGAUAUCACUACCUCAAGUGAUUAAAGCGUUCAACUUAAAAAUUAAGUUGCAUAUAGAAUCAACAAGUCAAUUAGCAAUCAUAUCUCAGUUGAAAUUCUCAUUUAUCGCAUAAUUUGACAUAGAGUACUUGAUUUCUCCAGGAGGGACGAAAUCCUUGUAAUGUUGUUAAAGUUAGUGUUUGAAUACAUUUGUGUAAAAUUGAAUUGAAUUAUAAAUUUGUGUGUGAAAAUCAAUUAUAGAAUAAAAAAAUAUUAAUUUUGACUCCAAGUAGAAUCAAUUUUGUGGCAAAAUCAAUUUUACUUGAAAACACAACCAAAUAUGUUUGAAUUAAUUUUAUAACUCCAUAAUCAAUUUUGACAACUCUAAAAGUAUAACCAAACAUACACCAAAUUAAAGGAGACACACUCUUGUGUAAGGUCAGGUCAGAGAUGAUUCUACUUUUGUGAGGAGAAAGUUCAAUAUCUUUCAACCUUAGUUAAUUUUCCAAUUUAUCAUUAAAAAUUAAACAUAUAAACGAAGUUUCAUUUGUUUUCAAAUGCAAAUUUCAUUGUCCAUCUUUUAUUACCAACAACUAUUUAGGAAAAAAACGAUACAAGAAGCAAAAUUUAAAUUAAAUGUAUAACCAAAACAAGCAAGCUAAUGAAAGUUUUUCUCUUGCAUAUUUCUAACUGAAAAACCUUAAACCGCUGAAACAUCCAAGAAGUCUUCUUGGCUGAUAGCCACGAGUACGAAACUUUGCAGCUGUCUCCUCUACCUUGAGGAUUUCUUCCCCUUUUUGAGCUUCUAUCAUUGCCUUUUUCUCUUCUGCUGAUUUAUGAAUUUCACCUAUUUUGUUUUGCAUUACUUCAACAUAUUCACUCUUCUUUCUGUCCAAUUUUACCUGUGAUUAAUUUAUACAAACUUUCAUUUAAAAUUUGGUUCAUAUAACUAUUAUUGAAAGAAGAAAAAAUCAAUCAAAUUGAUGCAAAAAUUGAGCACAUCUGACCUCAAUUCCUUUGAAUUUUGCUUCAAUUGAUGCUUUCUUAUCAUCCUCCCACAAAUCAACAGCAGAUUGCAUCUUAUAUGCCCUAAUUGACAUUAAUUAUCAUAAGAAUAAGAAGAUAUCAUUCACCUAGUCAUUAUAGAAAAUUGAAUUGGAUAUUAUUAAAUUAAUGUCUAAUAUUGAUAUUCGAAAGCUUUUAUAUCUUCCUUUUCUAGCACCUUACCUAUUCUCUACUUUUGUCUUCUCAUUUUCUUCCCAUGCUUUAAUUAAAGCCAAUCUUUUCUGCGAUUCAACCCUUGCUAGUACAGCAUCUAAAGGAACUAAAAAUUGAGUUAAUCAUCUCUCAAAACAAUUUAAAUGAUUAAAUAUAAAAGGGUUAAUAGGUAUUUACCCUUGUAAUAUAGGUCAUUUUUGGUUUUCCCCUAUAAAAUUUUUAUUUUUAUUCACCCUGUAAAAUAUUUUUAUUUUGAUAUACCACCUUAAUAGGCUAAACAAAAACGAAAAUUUCUUGAAAAAAAAAUAAAAUUGGUUUUUGUUUGGCCUAUCAGGGGUAAAUCAAAACAAAAUUAUUUUACACGGGUGAAUAAAAAUAAAAAUUUUACAGGAAGGAAAACCAAAAAUGACAUAUAUUACAGAGUAUAAAUAUCUAUUAACCCAAUAUAAAAAAUAAUAAAAAGGGAAAAUAACCUCGGUCAACUGAGUCCUUUGUAUCUGUUCCAGCAGCAGUAGCUGCAAAACAUCAAUAAGGAACAUUGGUAACAAAAAAAACAAGAACACAUGACGGGUUGAAUUAAUAUAUAAGUUUAGCUUGUCCCCAUAAUUUUACUAAAUUUUCUAUAUCUUGCUGAUUUUGUGUUUAAUGAAUUACAUACUUAAUUUUGUUUCUGAAAAAAGAUAUAUAGUACCAUGAAAAGAAACUUGUGCAGUUCAUCCAAAUAUGAUCCAUAUAAUUUUUUGCAUUGAUAAAUAAUUAAAGUUCAAAGAUUCAAAGGUUCUUCCACUUUAUAGAGAGAAUUAAAUAUACGCAUGAAACGUUCGGUAAAAAAAAAUGCAUGAAACGGACGUCUUUAGAAAUAAUAAUUAGAUUUCUCUCAAAAAAAAAGAAAUAAUAAUUAGACAAAUCCUAAGUAUCAAGUAAAAUAAUAAAAGCAAACCAAUGCUUUAAACAAAAUACACCAAAAUAAAUUCAUACAUCUUACACAAUCAGUCUAAUAACUAAGUAAAAUCUUUAUCAACUUGAAAGGAGAAAAAGAAAAAAAAAAACUUUCCCAUCCGAAAAAGUGGAAUUUGAUACACAACUCUACAAAAUAAUUAGCAAGAUUAUUUAGGAUUGUUUUUGUCAAUUUCAUAGGCUAAUCUGACAUCAUCAUACAACUUCAUGAAUCAAAAUAAGGUUUCACUCCAUAAAAAUGUAUAUUUUGGGGUUUUUCUUAGAGGACAUGUAUAUAUUGGGUUGAAAUUUUGCUUUGCUUUAUCUUAAAUUAAAUAGUAAAGAUAAAUGUUCUUAUAUUAAUAUAUUUAACAACCAAUGCGAUCGAUAAGACGAAAAUUGGAUUAAUUGAAAAUUAGAGAAAUAUAGAUAUUUUUUAGAUAUCAACUAACUAGAAAGAAAGAAAUAAAAUGAAUAUGGUAAAAAUGGCGAUCAACGGUCAAUAUUUAGAAGCAAAUUAAGCAAAAGGAUGAAUAAGGAUAUGAAUAUGAUGAAUGCAAUUAUGAGAUUCAACUAUUGUCAUUUUGAUUUUGUCAUUUAAAAAAAAAAAACGUAUAUGAUGAAUGUAAUUGUUGUGAUAUGUGUAAUACAUACUUUGAUCAACUGAAGAAGUAGCAUGAUCACUCACGACACGCUCUUGUUUAACAACACUGCUUGAAGUUCCUUCGUUCCCCGGUUCCUUUUCUUCAAGGAAGUAGGAAAACUCUCGAGGUUCAGAUUCAGAUUGAGGUAGUGGAGUUAGGGUGUCAACUAACUCUAAUUGUUUGUUUUUCGAUUCUUCCAUAAUGUAUUUCUAGGGUUACAGCAUUAGAAUUUCUAUUAAACUUAGAAUAUGUUUGUGAUCACACUUAAAUAGAGAUGAAAUUGUUGUUUUUGCUUACAGCAAGCCAAGCUGUUUGGUCACCACUCCAAUGGCCUCAAAGGUUUAUGUAAGAGACAUUGUGAAGACUCAAACGGGGUCCACUAAUAGACAGUUAUGCGGAUAUUCACUGCUUUGUCUUUUAUUAAUUAUUUCAAAUAUUUUUACCAUAUAUUUUCUAUACUUGGGGUUCAUUUCACAACUUACAUUUUACACUGCUUGUAUGCCAACCAAAGUAAGGUAUUCAGUUCCAUUGAGAUGUUGGUCACGAAAUGAAAUAAUUUUUUUUAAGGUAUUCAUUUUACACAACUUACAUUUUUUAAUUUUUUUUUUUUUUGGUAGAUAGACGAAAUGGCAAAGCCAUUAUAAACUCACACACACAAGUGAAGGUACCGGGGUUCGAACCCCGAUCAUGGCAUCCGGCCUAACAAUUUCGGAAACCAAAAUAGAGGUGAUCUAAAUCUAAGCAAGGCGUUUGAAGUUUUGGCUAAGACUUAUGAAAAUGUCAUUCAAAAUAAAAAUUGGUCAAGAAUAUCAUUCAAUUUAACCCCUUAUAUAAACUAACGUAAUUUAAAAUUAGAAUUUUAUAUUGAUUUAAAAUUAUGAAAUUUAGAUUUGAUUUAAUUUAGUUCAAUCUUUAUCGUAUAAUAUAAAUUCUAUUUGAAUCAUUUUUUAAGUUUAUUAAUUUAAUAGCCUCAAAAAAAAGUUUAUUAGUUUAAUAUUUAAAACAUUGUAAAAUACUUCUUUUAUUUUAGGGAUUGUAAGAUACUUCUAAAAAAAAGAACAUUAUAAAAUAAAGGAGAUGUGUUCCUAAAUGUAUAAAUUAAGAUUGAAAACUAAAAUUAACAAUGAUGAAGAUGAUUAUUUUUUCAAGAGAAUAUUGAUGUUUAUUCUUUGAAAAUACUAGGUUUUUUUUAAUAAAAAAACCAUCACUUUCUUUUAAAAUAGGGUAAAUUGUUAUUCCCUCCGUCUUGUCCUUUCUUUGGUGUUAAGGAGGGCCAAAGUUCCUCUUCCCCUUUAUUUAAAAUUUACACUCUUCUCACUUGAGAUAUUGAAGGAGUAGCGUAUAAUUUUUUUAACAUAAGCUACUAUAUUCUCUUAUUGAUGGAGUAGUUUAUUUAAGAUGAACACGUACUCCCUCUCUCCCAAGUAAUAAGGAAAAAAAACAAUUCACAUUUAUUAAAAAAACUAAAAUAUAACAAUUUGGAGUAUAAUUUUGUGUGUUUUUCUAAGAAUAAGUUUUAACAGAAGAUGUAAAAAUAAUUUUUAUUGGUUAUGGAGAAAAUGGAAGGGAAAACAAAUUUAAUUCAAUUUCAUGUGAAUAAGAAAAGUUUUUUUAUUUGGAAAAAAUGAGUUUUUGAAACAACGUGAUUAAAUAGGGUAAAAGUUAAUCUUUUUUACUUAUAAUUUAGGAUAAAAAAUGACUUUUUUUUGCUCAAAACAAGUGACGGGGGAGUAUAUUUGAGAUAAAUUAGAUAAUGAUACAAUGAAUAAAAUAGUGGUAGUUAACGAAUUUAUAAUACCAAUUGGCCAAUUGUAAAUGGUGUUAAAUCUUUGAGGAAUAAUCUUUCCAUGGUUCUAUUCAAUUUAAGAGAUUAAUCUCUACGGUUAUACAUAAAAAAUAGGGUUAAUAAUGUUUUUCACCCCUGUAAUAUAUGUCAUUUUCGAUUUUCGCCUCUAUAAAGUUUUUGGUUUGAUUUGCACCCUUGUAAAAAAAAAAUCCAGAAAACAUCCCUAGUAGGUCAUUUUCAGUUUUUUUUUUUCAAGAAAUUUUGGCUUUUGAAUGGCCUAUUAAGGGUGUUUUCUAGAAAAUAAAAAUUUUACGAGGGUGCAAAUCAAACUGAAAAUUUUAUAGGGCGAAAACUGGAAAUGACAUAUAUUACAGAGGUGAAAAGCACUAUUAACCCUAAAAAAUAUCACAUUCACACUAAAAAUGUGAUCAAUUGCAAGGCAUCGCUUUGUCCAAGUGAAUAGCUUUGGAUAAACCUAAUUAUAAUGGAUAAAAUAUUUACUUUUAAUUUUUUUAACAAAUUAAUGAAUAAAAAAAUUUGAUACCUUGUAUAAGUAUGUAGCACUCAUUUUAUUAUUUUUAUUGAAUAAUAAUAAUAGAUGAAUGAUAAGGUGUUAACCCUGGCUCUCAAAGAAGAGCCGUUGAGUUUUGAAUAUGAUUAUAGGAUUGAUUCGUUAGUUGAUUGAAUUGGAUCAUAGACUACUCUCUUAUCACUAAAGAAUAUAAUUUCAUUUAAAAAAUUCUAAAGACUAUUCAUCUAUACAUUAUACACCUCCACACACUUUGAUGCCGUUAGAACUCGGGAUAAGUAUAGUUUUACUUAAAAAAAUAGUUUGUAAGAUGAUGAGUGUUUCGUUUAUAAAUACAUGGUCAAACCAUUUCUUAUCUAAAGUGAAACUUUUAACGCACCUCUCACGUUUAGGAAUGGGCAUAUGCUGCAUGACAUGGGUGGUUUGAUAACGGUGACUUUACCGUAACCGAUGCAACAUGUCUUAAAUAAGUUUUAACGGCAUAUUACCAUUUAAGACGAGUCUAAGUCAACAUCACAAAACCGUCUUAUAAGAUGAGAGAUACUACCACAUAUAAAUACAUUAUCAAAUUAUAUCUCAUCAAAUUUAAAAGUUUUAACCAUUGCUUCACUUUACAGGCUUAUAACUUUUGGACGAUUGGAAAUAAUAAACUGAAUGCAUCCCCUCCCCCACUUCAAACAACAAAACAAUGAUCAUGCCAUGUAAAUUUCAAUAUAAAAUGUUAUAGACAAAUUACAUCUUACGUUGAAAUUUUUACUGUUAGAUUAUUUUCAUAUUUUUAUCAUAUAGUAUUUUGAUACCAAUUAAUCGAUGGUUUUUUUUUUUGGUGAAGGAAGUUAUUUAAUUAAAAAUUAUUAUUUUUUGUUCAAAGAUAAGAUGUCAAACUCUGGCGUGUUAGAGGGACAUUACGUAAUAUGCUGAACAUGGACCACUUGACAUCUAGUCAAUUUCGUGGUCGAUUUGCACGUAUUUGUGUGAAAAGGGAUCUUGAUAAGAAAAUCAUUUUAAAGUUCAUUGUGAAUGUUUUAGGUUUUGUUUUUACUAUUGAACAUGAAGGAUUACAUACAUAUUGCGUGUUUUAGUUGUGGCAUUGUGGAAAAUAUGGCCACAAUGCGGAAACUUGCCAAGACCACUACGUGAAGAAGAUUGUGUUCACCAUAAGAAAUGCUAGUUUAUCUACGGUUUAUGUUUCGAAAGUGUAACAACCAAUAAACCUAAAUUCUACAAAGAAGAACCCUUUGGCUCAUGAGGGAACUUCACAUGCAAAGGAGGAAGAUAUUCCAUCAUAUUUUAGUCCCUCGAUGUUGGUCAAAAUACAUAAUAUGCAUAAGCAAUUGAGUAGUGCAGCUCAACCGAAAUUUUCGGAGAAAAUAAAAAUAAAAAGGCUUAUUGAUGUGUUUAGCCCUUGCAAUUAGGCGGCAUUUAAAAAUUCGUUCCUGUAAUUGUUAAUCCUGGCAUUUUAACCCUGCAAUUGUUAAUCGUUUAAAAUUUGGUCCUUGGACCAAAUUAAUCACUGCCACGUCACUAAUUUGAUGACGUGGCAAUCACUGUCACACAUGAAAUUACAAUUUUGCCCUUAAGAAGAGGACAAAAUAUUGAAGAAAGAAUUGGAAACCCAGGGGUAAAUUUGGAAUUUCAUGUGGCGUGGCAGUGAUUAAGUGGGGAGAGGGACGAAAUUUUAAAUGAUUAACAAUUGCAGGGUUAAAAUGUCAGGAUUAGCAAUUACAGGGACGAAUUUUUAAAUGCCGCCUAAUUGCAAGGGUUAAACACAUCAAUAAGCCAAAUAAAAAUCAUGAAUAUACUAAAGGUAAAAAGCAUGAGGUAGAAACAAAUGAAUAUAUUGAUAUUGGUGUAGUCGUUAUAUAGAUAAAGAUAAUAGGAGUUGUGAUUCGUGUGUUGCAUAAAAAAAUCAUCAGAUGAGGGGCCCACAUCAAAGCUUGAUGGGUUUAAAGUGAAUGAAACAUCACAUUAAUAUAUAAUUUUUAAUUUUAUUUUAUAGUGCAU